rnacentral:rRNA from 1 species
UACGUAGGGGGCAAGCGUUGUCCGGAUUUAUUGGGCGUAAAGAGCGUGUAGGCGGCUUGGCAAGUCUGCUGUGAAAACUCGAGGCUCAACCUCGAGCUGUCGGCGGAAACUGCUUGGCUAGAGUCCGGAAGAGGAGAGUGGAAUUCCUGGUGUAGCGGUGAAAUGCGCAGAUAUCAGGAAGAACACCUAUGGCGAAGGCAGCUCUCUGGGACGCUACUGACGCUGAGACACGAAAGCGUGGGGAGCAAACAGG